rnacentral:rRNA from 1 species
GAUGAACGCUGGCUACAGGCUUAACACAUGCAAGUCGAGGGGAAACGACGGGGAAGCUUGCUUCCCCGGGCGUCGACCGGCUCACGGGUGAGUAACGCGUAUCCAACCUGCCUCUGACUGAGGGAUAACCCGUCGAAAGUCGGCCUAAUACCUCAUGGCAUCGUCUUCGGGCAUCCAACGACGAUUAAAGAUUUCAUCGUUCAGGGAUGGGGCUGCGUCUGAUUAGCUUGUUGGCGUGGUAACGGCCCACCAAGGCUACGAUCAGUAGGGGUUCUGAGAGGAAGGGACCCCACAUGGGAACUGAGACACGGUCCAAACUCCGACGGGAGGCAGCAGUGAGGAAUAUUGGUCAAUGGGCGGGAGCCUGAACCAGCCAAGUAGCGUGCAGGAUGACGGCCCUAUGGGUUGUAAACUGCUUUUAUGCGGGGAUAAAGUGAGGGACGUGUCCUUCAUUGCAGGUACCGCAUGAAUAAGGACCGGCUAAUUCCGUG